rnacentral:rRNA from 1 species
UUAGAGUUUGAUCAUGGCUCAGGACGAACGCUGGCGGCGUGCCUAAUACAUGCAAGUCGAACGCGCCCCGGUUGAUGAAGUUGAGUGCUUGCACUUAAUUGAUUCAACUUGGUGACGAGUGGCGAACUGGUGAGUAACACGUGGGUAACCUGCCCCGAAGCGGGGGAUAACAUUUGGAAACAGGUGCUAAUACCGCAUAACAACCAAAACCACCUGGUUUUGGUUUGAAAGACGGCUUCGGCUGUCACUUUGGGAUGGACCCGCGGCGUAUUAGCUAGUUGGUGAGGUAACGGCUCACCAAGGCGAUGAUACGUAGCCGACCUGAGAGGGUAAUCGGCCACAUUGGGACUGAGACACGGCCCAAACUCCUACGGGAGGCAGCAGUAGGGAAUCUUCCACAAUGGACGCAAGUCUGAUGGAGCAACGCCGCGUGAGUGAUGAAGGGUUUCGGCUCGUAAAACUCUGUUGUUGGAGAAGAACGGGUGUUAGAGUAACUGUUGACAUCGUGACGGUAUCCAACCAGAAAGCCACGGCUAGCUACGUGCCAGCAGCCGCGGUAAUACGUAGGUGGCAAGCGUUGUCCGGAUUUAUUGGGCGUAAAGCGAGCGCAGGCGGUUUUUUAGGUCUGAUGUGAAAGCCUUCGGCUUAACCGGAGAAGUGCAUCGGAAACCGGGAGACUUGAGUGCAGAAGAGGACAGUGGAACUCCAUGUGUAGCGGUGAAAUGCGUAGAUAUAUGGAAGAACACCAGUGGCGAAGGCGGCUGUCUGGUCUGCAACUGACGCUGAGGCUCGAAAGCAUGGGUAGCGAACAGGAUUAGAUACCCUGGUAGUCCAUGCCGUAAACGAUGAGUGCUAAGUGUUGGAGGGUUUCCGCCCUUCAGUGCUGCAGCUAACGCAUUAAGCGCUCCGCCUGGGGAGUACGACCGCAAGGUUGAAACUCAAAGGAAUUGACGGGGGCCCGCACAAGCGGUGGAGCAUGUGGUUUAAUU